ensembl:misc_RNA Metazoa_SRP Metazoan signal recognition particle RNA
GCUGGGUGUGGUGGCGUGCGCCUGUACUCCUAGGUACUCGGGAGGCUGAGGCAGAAGAAUUGUUUGAACCCAGGAGGCGGGGUUGCAGUGGACCAAGACUGUGUCGCUGCACUCCAGCCUGGGUGAUAGAGCGAGACUCUGUCUCAA